rnacentral:rRNA from 1 species
AACAACGGAGAGUUUGAUCCUGGCUCAGGAUGAACGCUAGCGGCAGGCUUAACACAUGCAAGUCGAGGGGCAGCGGGGAGGAAGCUUGCUUUCUCCGCCGGCGACCGGCGCACGGGUGAGUAACACGUAUGCAACCUGCCCCUGUCAGGGGGACAACCCGCCGAAAGGCGGGCUAAACCCGCGUACAUGCCACCGGGGCAUCCCGGAGGCAGGAAAGGCUUCGGCCGGACAGGGAUGGGCAUGCGGCGCAUUAGGCAGUAGGCGGGGUAACGGCCCACCUAACCGACGAUGCGUAGGGGUUCUGAGAGGAAGGUCCCCCACACUGGUACUGAGACACGGACCAGACUCCUACGGGAGGCAGCAGUGAGGAAUAUUGGUCAAUGGUCGGGAGACUGAACCAGCCAAGCCGCGUGAGGGAGGAAGGUACAGAGUAUCGUAAACCUCUUUUGUCAGGGAACAAARCGGGGACGYGUCCCCGGAUGAGUGUACCUGAAGAAAAAGCAUCGGCUAACUCCGUGCCAGCAGCCGCGGUAAUACGGAGGAUGCGAGCGUUAUCCGGAUUUAUUGGGUUUAAAGGGUGCGCAGGCGGUCUGUUAAGUCAGCGGUCAAAGCCCGGGGCUCAACCCCGGCCCGCCGUUGAAACUGGCAGUCUCGAGUUGGAGAGAAGUAUGCGGAAUGCGCGGUGUAGCGGUGAAAUGCAUAGAUAUCGCGCAGAACUCCGAUUGCGAAGGCAGCAUGCCGGCUCCACACUGACGCUGAGGCACGAAAGCGUGGGUAUCGAACAGGAUUAGAUACCCUGGUAGUCCACGCAGUAAACGAUGAAUGCUGGCUGUCCGGGGGGAYUGACCCCUGGGUGGCGAAGCGAAAGCGAUAAGCAUUCCACCUGGGGAGUACGCCGGCAACGGUGAAACUCAAAGGAAUUGACGGGGGCCCGCACAAGCGGAGGAACAUGUGGUUUAAUUCGAUGAUACGCGAGGAACCUUACCCGGGCUCAAACGGGGAGUGACUCAGGCAGAGACGCCUGUUUCCCACGGGACACUCCCCGAGGUGCUGCAUGGUUGUCGUCAGCUCGUGCCGUGAGGUGUCGGCUUAAGUGCCAUAACGAGCGCAACCCCCGCGUGCAGUUGCUAACAGWYAACGCUGAGGACUCUGCACGGACUGCCGGCGCAAGCCGCGAGGAAGGCGGGGAUGACGUCAAAUCAGCACGGCCCUUACGUCCGGGGCGACACACGUGUUACAAUGGGUGGUACAGCGGGAAGCCAGGCGGCGACGCCGAGCGGAACCCGAAAUCCACUCUCAGUUCGGAUCGGAGUCUGCAACCCGACUCCGUGAAGCUGGAUUCGCUAGUAAUCGCGCAUCAGCCAUGGCGCGGUGAAUACGUUCCCGGGCCUUGUACACACCGCCCGUCAAGCCAUGGGAGCCGAGGGCGCUUGAAGUGCGUCGCCGCGAGGCGCGCCCUAGAGCGAAAUCGGUGACUGGGGCUAAGUCGUAACAAGGUAGCCGUACCGGAAGGUGCGGCUGGAACACCUCCUUUCUGGA